rnacentral:rRNA from 1 species
UACAGAGGGUGCGAGCGUUAAUCGGAAUUACUGGGCGUAAAGCGCACGUAGGUGGCGACGUAAGUCAGGUGUGAAAGCCCCGGGCUCAACCUGGGAAUUGCAUUUGAGACUGCAUAGCUAGGGUGCGGAAGAGGGAAGCGGAAUUUCCGGUGUAGCGGUGAAAUGCGUAGAUAUCGGAAGGAACAUCAGUGGCGAAAGCGGCUUCCUGGUCCAGCACCGACGUUCAGGCACGAAAGCGUGGGGAGCAAACAGG